CCCUAGCAUGGUGCUGGUAGCAAUCACUUUCAGUUUUGGAUAUCCUGAUGUGAUGCUGAAAUGGUUAUGGUAACAGUAACGAUGAUGUUUCAUGUUAAAUUUCCAAAUCACUCAUCACAUCCCAAGUCACUCCCUUUGUCAUUGUUAUUACUACUGCAAGUUGUUCUGUGUGCUUCAGUCACUGCUUUGUGUGUUUCAUGACCCUAAAUGAAUCAGACAAACUUUUAGGAUCCUGUCAAUCACUCUAAGGCUUUUUGCAAAUUAAAGGCACUUGGGUAUGCAUUUUUCUCUAGCUGGCAUAGAGAUAUAAAAUAAAUUUAGCAAAGCAUUAAAUCAUUUGAACAUGAAUAUUUAAUUUUUUAAAAGCCAGAUAAAUGCAUAUGAGAGUAAAUAUGAUCUAAAUUUUUUCCCUGGACACUGAGCACCUUUCACAUGUCAGUUAAGUAUCCAAAAAUGCUCAUAACUUGGCAGUUAUGGUUAAUGUUGGAACUAGGGUAUGAUAAGGAAGGCUCAGAUGUAUGAUAAAGAUCAGAAUUUGUCUUCUCCUGAGCUUCCUUACUCAAGUAGGAUAGUAAAAGGCAGUUAGACUCAUUGUUAGAAAUAAUGUGAGACCAUCUCUUUCAAAUCUCUGGUUUCUUCCACUAUGUGCUAUUUGGAAAUUGCAGUAACUGUAAUUACUGGGGAAAAACCCUCAAAUAAUUUUUAGUUGAAACUAAUGGUGAACAUUUAUAAAGUUAUGUAUUUGUAAAAUGCAUUUUAUAUUGGGGAAACAAUAUGAUACAAUUUGGAAAUAAUCAGUGAAGCAAGACACAUUUAUCAAUCGAUUAACAAUAAAUUAUCCAAUUUUAUUUUAUUUUUUUUAAAGUUUAUUUAUUUUGAGAGAAAGAGAAAGAGAGUAGAGAGGAGAGAGAGAACCCCAAGCAGGAUUUGCAUUGGCAGCAUGGAGCCUGAGGCAGGGCUUGAUCUCAUGAACCGCAAGAUCAUGAUCUGAACUGAAACCAAGAGUCAGAUGCUUAACCGACUGAGCCACCUUGGUGCCCCUAAAUUAUCCAAUUUUAAUUGGAAGUGAAGUAUGUACCACGUACUGCCCACUAAAUGGAAGAUAUAAUAAGACAGGAGUCAUUUCUGCCUUCUAAUUGUUUAUUAACCAGCAUAAAGGACGCACAUUGGACAACUAAUUACAAACGUGAUGGGCCUUAACAAAAUGGAAGGUGAGUGUUGCUAAACGAACUCAUAGUGAGUGAAUGUAACUCAUUCCAAGAACUCAGGAAAGACUAUUAAGGAAUAAUAUUUAGCUAGAGACCUAUACAUUUGUAGACAUUUUGUGGUCAAAGACAUAAGGGAAGUAUUUUGAGCCAAGAAAACCACAUGGGAACGUCCUUUUGGAAUGACAGCAUAUCUGAGGCACAGAAAAUAAAUAUUCAAUAUGGCUAGACCACAGAGAAUUCAAGAAAGUGUUGAGCAAAAUGAAGUUGGAGAGGUUGGCGAUGGGUUUGGAAUUUUAUCAGAUUAUCAGGGACCACUGAAAGGUUUUAAGCAAGGUUAGAGUUUUAAGUCUGGUUAGAUUUUUGAAAAGAACCUCAUUUUAGUCCUAGCUCUGCAACAAGUGACCUCUCUUUACCCCAGUGUCAUCCAUUAGCACAACAUGCUGUUUACAGACCCAUCCUACUCUGAGUCACGUGUGACUAUAUCAGAAACAAAGGGAUGAAAUUACUGAUGAGAAGGAAAGAAGCAUGAAUGUUCUGUGACAACUAACCAUCUGUGUGUAUGUGUGUGUGUGUGUGUGUGUGUGUGUGUGCGUGGUUUAUGUUGGUGGUGAUGAAAGUUGUUUACUAUGUUUAUGCAUAAUAAAGUGAAAAGUGUCUAUUUUCUUCAACUGGCCCAGGCACAGGUGCUGUUAUAAUUGCUGAGAUUAUUUGUGUAUUGGGUUUUAAUGAUGCAUUUAAAUACUUAUUCCAUUUACUGAUUUAGGUAAACAAUUUAUUUUUGCAAGUGAAGGCCAAUGUCAUGGUUAUUCCCAAGCUACCUUUUAUUUAAAACAUAUCACCCCAGUCUUUCAUACCACCCCCCAAAGAAAAAAAAUAGAAUUCUGGUCAUUUAAGCACUAAAACAAAAACAAACAUAAAAGGAAUGAUAAAAACAGGUUUUUACUGUAAGAGAGUCAUUUCAUUGUAUCAAGAAGGAAGAAAUAAAAGAAGCUGGUUUACAAGUUGCAUGCCUUGUGCUACUUUCCCGUAAAUGCUCUUACAUUUAUAAGCCCUUAAGACAAGUUUGGGCUUUUAUUGUUGUUGCUGUUGUUAUUUAAAUCCUCUCAGUAAAAACAGAGCAUCAAAGGUGAAGCAAGUGUUCUACAGCAUGUGAGUAGCAUACAAGUAGUAUAUAAGAUAAAAAUAUUGUUGUGCUCCUUCUCAGUAGUAAUUGGGGAAUGUACCCAUUGGUUUCUCGGUAACCUAUAAUUUCUAGGAAGAAGAGGAAAGAAAGACUCACAGCUGACUUCAUUCUGUGUAGACUCCCUGCUGGCCUGGAAGCAUCUAUGAUACCUGAGGACAUGGAAGGCAUUCCUAAUUCAAGUUUAAUUACAAAUUUAAAUGAAGUUACAGAAGAAUGUAGACUGGCAGGAAUGUAGUGGCUAUCACCUUUCCAACUUCCAGAUUAUGGUGGUGCUGAUAUUAAACUUGUAAUCUUUGGGAAUUGUUUGAAGAAUAAAAUGCAAAAUGAAAUGUAUUUAAGGAUUUGAACGUUAAAAUCAAGUAUCUUCUCUAUAUGUAA
rnacentral:lncRNA from 1 species